GAUGAACGCUGGCGGCGUGCCUAAUACAUGCCAGUCGAGCGAACAGACGAGGAGCUUGCUCCUCUGACGUUAGCGGCGGACGGGUGAGUAACACGUGGAUAACCUACCUAUAAGACUGGGGUAACUUCGGGAAACCGGAGCUAAUACCGGAUAAUAUAUUGAACCGCAUGGUUCAAUAGUGAAAGACGGUUUUGCUGUCACUUAUAGAUGGAUCCGCGCCGCAUUAGCUAGUUGGUAAGGUAACGGCUUACCAAGGCAACGAUGCGUAGCCGACCUGAGAGGGUGAUCGGCCACACUGGAACUGAGACACGGUCCAGACUCCUACGGGAGGCAGCAGUAGGGAAUCUUCCGCAAUGGGCGAAAGCCUGACGGAGCAACGCCGCGUGAGUGAUGAAGGUCUUCGGAUCGUAAAACUCUGUUAUUAGGGAAGAACAAAUGUGUAAGUAACUAUGCACGUCUUGACGGUACCUAAUCAGAAAGCCACGGCUAACUACGUG
rnacentral:rRNA from 1 species